rnacentral:rRNA from 1 species
UGGGGAAUAUUGCACAAUGGGCGAAAGCCUGAUGCAGCAACGCCGCGUGAGUGAUGAAGGUCUUCGGAUUGUAAAGCUCUGUCUUUUGGGACGAUAAUGACGGUACCAAAGGAGGAAGCCACGGCUAACUACGUGCCAGCAGCCGCGGUAAUACGUAGGUGGCGAGCGUUGUCCGGAUUUACUGGGCGUAAAGGGUGCGUAGGCGGAUGUUUAAGUGAGAUGUGAAAUACCCGGGCUUAACUUGGGUGCUGCAUUUCAAACUGGAUAUCUAGAGUGCAGGAGAGGAGAAUGGAAUUCCUAGUGUAGCGGUGAAAUGCGUAGAGAUUAGGAAGAACACCAGUGGCGAAGGCGAUUCUCUGGACUGUAACUGACGCUGAGGCACGAAAGCGUGGGUAGCAAACAGGAUUAGA